AUGCAAAUUAUAGAGUACAUAGAUAGAUUUAAAACUGUAGUGCCUCCGGCCAAGGGCUCCGAUUAUCAAUCAACAAAGCAGAAGCCUUCUUCCUUUCCAUGUAAUGAAACAGAGCGCGGGUUCACCAUGGAAGGUCACAAGGUUAGAUGGGGUAAUUGGAUGUUCCAUGUAGGGUUCAAUGCUCGGGCGGGUGUGAUUAUAUCCACAGCUUCUGUAUAUGAUGCAAAACAAAAGAGGUUCCGGCGUGUGCUAUACAGAGGGCAUGUCUCCGAGACUUUUGUCCCGUACAUGGAUCCUACAAGUGAAUGGUAUUUCAGGACUUUCAUGGACAUGGGCGAAUACGGGUUUGGUCGAUCUGCUGACACCCUUGAGCCACUGGCCGACUGUCCGGGAAAUGCAGUGUAUAUGGAUGGGUACAUGGCUGGGGCAGACGGGCGGCCACAAAAGGUUGACAGAGCGAUAUGCAUUUUUGAGCGGCAUUCAGGGGAUGUUGCUUGGAGACAUACUGAAAUUGGUGUCCCUGGACGAACGGUAAGGUGGUUUAAGUGUCUUUCGGUUUAGGGAAAAUGUGAUAUGGAUUAUUGAAUGGUUUUUGCAGAUAAGAAGAGUGGAACCAGAAGUGAAUUUGGUGGUCAGGAUGGUGGCUACUGUUGGGAAUUAUGAUUAUGUCCUUGAUUGGGAGUUCCAACAAAGUGGGUCAAUCAAAGUAGGGGUUGGGCUCACUGGUGUUCUGGAAAUGAAGGCCACAUCAUACACAAAUACAGAUCAGAUACGGAAGGACGUGUUUGGUACGUUACUGGCAGAUGAUAUCGUUGCCGUGAACCAUGACCACUUUCUCACCUACUAUCUCGACCUUGAUGUUGACGGAAUGGAUAACUCUUUCAUCAAAGCUAAGUUAGGAACAAGAAAGACAACAAGCGUUGGCAUCAAAUCUCCAAGGAAGAGUUACUGGUCGGUAGUCAAGAAAAUGGCCAAGACGGAAGCUGAGGGUAGGAUUCGAUUGGGCUCGAAACCAGCGGAGUUGUUAGUAGUGAAUACCAAUAAAAAGACAAAAACAGGGAAUUAUGUGGGUUACCGAUUGAUUGCUGGACAACCGGUUUACUCCCUCUUAUCCGAUGACGAUUAUCCCCAAAUUCGUGUGGCUUACACCAAGUAUCAAAUGUGGGUGACUGCUUAUAACAAGUCAGAGAGGUGGGCUGGUGGGUUUUAUGCUGAUAGGAGUCGAGGAGAUGAUGAGCUGGCUGUUUGGAGCAACAGGAAUAGAAGCAUCGCAAACAAAGAUGUAGUAGUAUGGUACACAGUAGGGUUCCAUCACAUUCCCUACCAGGAAGAUUACCCGGCAAUGCCCACACUUCACGACGGAUUCCAACUCCGGCCGGCUAACUUUUUUGAACGCAACCCAUUGCUCCGAUGAUUUUCUUCAACAAAGUUGUAGUAGAGCUGUGAUGGGCCUGCUCUAUGUUGUAUUUUCAACUGACCACGAUUCAAGGCCUGGUCAUAUCAGGGGGCUCUUACCCAGUUCUGGGUCAGCAACAAAUUGGGCUUCAGUUGAUUCACUCCUUCAUCUAGAUGAUGAUACUAGUCUCAUUUAAGUAUUAGUUAAUUUUAAAACUGAUGCUACAAAAAUGGAAUUCUUAAAUUAGUUAACUUUAUAAAUUGAUGUCACAAAAAUGUAAUUCUUAUAUUAAAAUGUUUAUCCAAGAAUGGAAUUCUUAUAAAUAUAUUGUAUGAUAUGUUGUGGAGAAGAAUUAAAUAUUUUUAGAUUUUGAAUAUUAGAACA